rnacentral:misc_RNA from 1 species
GGAGGGGAAAGGAGUUAAAAUAUUUACUGUGUAGAGCUAGAAGUUGGAGGUUUGGCUGGAGGUUGUUCGUGUCCUCUGCUUCUAUUGUUCUGCAUUCUUAAGCUUUUGAGGUUGUUUGGGUAAAUCUAAAUUUAGGGUUUAAUUGUCAAAUUUUUAAAAUAAAAAUGAGGGCUCUUGGAGACUUGAGCGAUAUCUUUUUAUUAAGGGCCCGUAAAUUGAUGCCAUUGACUAUUUCUAGUAAGUUUAUGUAGUCACUACUUUAUGAUUUAGAUUAAACUGCUUUGUAGAUUAAUGAAUUUUAUCCAUAUCAUAGUUCUUUUUCCUUUUUUGUUGUUUGUUAAUUACCCUUUGCCUUUCAAUAACCAGCAUGCUUGAUAGUCAAAUACUUU